UUAUUCGAUACACUGUUUCAA
ensembl:piRNA 21ur-8009 ncRNA